GAUGAACGCUGGCGGCGUGCCUAAUACAUGCAAGUCGAGCGAACGGACGAGAAGCUUGCUUCUCUGAUGUUAGCGGCGGCCGGGUGAGUAACACGUGGAUAACCUACCUAUCAGACUGGGAUAACUUCGGGAAACCGUAGCUAAUACCGGAUAAUAUUCUGAACCGCAUGGUUCAAAAGUGAAAGACGGUCUUGCUGUCGCUUAUAGAUGGAUCCGCGCUGCAUUAGCUAGUUGGUAAGGUAACGGCUUACCAAGGCAACGAUGCAUAGCCGACCUGAGAGGGUGGUCGGCCACAAUGGAACGGAGGCGCGGUGCCGGCGCCUACGGGAGGCAGCAGUAGGGAAUCUUCCGCAAUGGGGGGAAGACGGACGGAGCAACGCCGCGUGGGUGAUGAAGGUCUUCGGAUCGUAAAACUCUGUUAUUGGGGAAGAACAUAUGUGUAAGUAACUGUGCACAGCUUGACGGUACCUAAUCAGAAAGCCACGGCUAACUACGUG
rnacentral:rRNA from 1 species